rnacentral:lncRNA from 1 species
AUGGACUGCCACGGUGUGUUCUGCAGGGCCUUCUCUUCCCCUUCCCCUUCUUCCUCUUCCCCUUCCCUUUCCCUUUCCUCUUCCCCUUCCCCUUCUCCUUCUCUCCGUGCCCCGGAGUCCCGGCUCCGCGGGGCAGGGACAAGCCCCCGACUCGCGGUGCCCAGCAUGGCGAGCAGCCCUGCCGCUACCUCACCUCCCGCCCGCCGCCCCUCACGGCCGCCACCCCCCCACACCCGGUGCCUGGCGCGGGCGGCGCGGCCCCACGGCCCGGCCCGGCCCCGCCGCCGGCAGCCGCCGGGGCGGAGCCCUCGCGCCCUAUCGCCGCCGGGCCUCGCGCCGCCUCCCCUCACGGCCCGGCCCGGCCCCGGCCGCGGCGAGGCGGAGCGGGGCGGGGACCCGCGGCGGUGCCGCCCGGCCGUGCUCAGCGGCCGGGGCUGGCCCCGCGGCCGGCCGGGAGCCCCGGAGCGGUGUCUGUGGGCCCGGGCCGGCUGGGGCGAAACUCCCCGGGGGAGGGGAGAGGAGAGGAGGGGAGGGGAGCGGCCGAGCCGCGCCUCGCCGGGCCGGGAGCCGGGAGCGCUGCGGGGCCAUGCCCGCCCCGGCCCGAGCGAGGCGGCCGGCUCCGCGGCACCGAGCGGCGGCGUGCGGGGAGCUGCCGUGCCCCGGGAGGCGGCCGCAGAAGAGCAGGCAGCUGGCGGAGCCGGCCGGCAGCCCCGCGCUGCUCAGCCCGCCCGGAAGAAGUGUCACCACACGGAGAGGCGGGCGGUUAUGGUCGAAUAUAUGCUGUUUAUUUAUGAGUGUAACCAGGACUUCGGACAAACUUAUAUGCAGCCCUCCCUCCCCCCAGACAACCCCCAACCCCACCGCCGGGUACCCACCCGCGGCGCACACGCCCCCCGCACACGCACGCCCCAGGCGCUGCCCUCCCGCUGCCCCGGCCCCGGGCCGACUUGCUGCCCAGCUCCAGCUACGAGCGCUCCGGCGAAGGCGGUUUGUUUGGGUUGGUUUGUUUGUGUGUUGUUUUUUUUUUUUUUUUUUUUUUUUUUUUUCCGCUCUCUGCCGGGGAGAAGCUCCGGAGUCCAAAGGUGCUGCGGCGGGGAGGCAGCGGCCGGCCCGGGCCCGCGCUGGAGGCAGCGCAGCGCACACUCGCUCACCCACCCACACAAAUAA